rnacentral:rRNA from 1 species
GGAAUGAUCCCGGCUCAGAUUGAACGCUGGCGGGAUGCUUUACACAUGCAAGUCGAACGGCAGCACGGACUUUGGCUCGGUGGCGAGUGGCGAACGGGUGAGCAAUGUAUCUGCAACCACCGUAUGUGGGGAUACGCGAAAUGUAGCUAAUACCGCAUUACCGCCUCGGGAAAAGCGGACCUUCGGGCCUCGCACUAUUAGAGCGGCCAGAUAUCGGAUUAGCUAUUGGUGGGUAACGGCUCACCACAGUGACGAUCCGUAGCCGGUUUGAGAGGACACCAGCCACACUGGGACUGAGACACGGCCCAGACUCACGGGAGGCAGCAGUGGGGAAUUUUUGGACAAUGGGGAAACCCUGAUCCAGCCAUCCCGCGUGUGCGAUGAAGGCCUUCGGGGUUGUAAAGCACUUUUUGGCAGGGGAAAGAAACGGCACGGGAUAAUACCCCGUGCAACUGACGGUACCUAUAGAAUAAGCACUGGCCAAUCCACGCGCCAGCAGCCGCGGUAAUACGUAGGGUGCAAGCGUUAAUCGAACGACGGCGGUAUGUGCGCAGGCGGUUCGGAAAGAAGAUGAACCUAAGAGCUUAACUUUGAACUGCAUUUUUAACUACCGAGCUAGAGUGUGUCAGAGGAGGUGGGAUUCCGCGUGUAGCAGUGAAAUGCGUAGAUAUGCGGAGGAACACCGAUGGCGAAGGCAGCCUCCUGGAUAACACUGACGCUCAUGCACGAAAGCGUGGGGAGCAAACAGGAUUAGAUACCCUGGUAGUCCACGCCCUGAAACGAUGUCAACUAGCUGCUGGGGCCUUUCGGGCCUGGCAGCGCAGCUAACGCGUGAAGUUGACUGCCUGGGGAGUACGGUCGCAAGAUUAAAACUCAAAGGAAUUGACGGGGACCCGCACAAGCGGUGGAUGAUGUGGAUUAAUUCCGAUGCAACGGGAAAACCUUACCUACCCUUGAUAUGUCUGGAAUCCCGAAGAGAUUUGGGAGUGUCAAGAGAACCGGAACACAGGUGCUGCAGGGUGGCUGUCGUCAGCUCGUGUCGUGAGAUGUUGGGUUAAGUCCCGCACCAGAGCGCAACCCUUGUCAUUAGUUGCUACGAAAGGCACUCUAAUGAGACUGCCGGUGACAAAUCGGAGGAAGGUGAUGACGUCAGUCCCCAUGGUCUUAUGGGUAGGGCUUCACACGUCAUACAAUGGUCGACAGAGGGUCGCUAACCCGCGAGGGGGAGCCAAUCCCAGAAACCCGAUCGUAGUCCGGAUCGCAGUCUGCAACUCGACUGCGGUGAAGUCGGAAUCGCUAGUAAUCGCGGAUCAGCAUGUCGCGGUGAAUACGUUCCUGCAGGCCUUGUACACACCGCCCGUCACACUACGGGAGUGGGUUUUACCAGACAGUUAGCCUAACCGUAAGGAGGGCGAUUACCACGGUAGGAUUCAUGACUGGGGUGAAGUCGUAACAAGGUAG